rnacentral:rRNA from 1 species
GGGGAACCAGGACUUUUACUGUGAAAAAAUUAGAGUGUUCAAAGCAGGCCUUUGCUCGGAUACAUUAGCAUGGAAUAAUAGAAUAGGACGUGCGGUUCUAUUUUGUUGGUUUCUAGGACCGCCGUAAUGAUUAAUAGGGAUAGUCGGGGGCGUCAGUAUUCAGCUGUCAGAGGUGAAAUUCUUGGAUUUGCUGAAGACUAACUACUGCGAAAGCAUUCGCCAAGGAUGUUUUCAUUAAUCAGGGAACGAAAGUUAGGGGAUCGAAGACGAUCAGAUACCGUCGUAGUCUUAACCAUAAACUAUGCCGACUAGGGAUCGGGCGGGGUUCUAUGAUGACCCGCUCGGCACCUUACGAGAAAUCAAAGUUUUUGGGUUCUGGGGGGAGUAUGGUCGCAAGGCUGAAACUUAAAGAAAUUGACGGAAGGGCACCACAAGGCGUGGAGCCUGCGGCUUAAUUUGACCCAACACGGGGAAACUCACCAGGUCCAGACAAAAUAAGGAUUGACAGAUUGAGAGCUCUUUCUUGAUCUUUUGGAUGGUGGUGCAUGGCCGUUCUUAGUUGGUGGAGUGAUUUGUCUGCUUAAUUGCGAUAACGAACGAGACCU